GGGACGCAGCUGCCCCUGGAGGAAGCAGGGCGACAUCCUGUGUACUUGAAAAGAAAACUGAAAGUGCCUUUCUUCACAAGAAACUAUUGUGUUUUCCUCUUUUUUCAUAACCCACAGGGAAGGUGUCAGCCUGCUGGAGCCCACCCCGAGGAGCCCCGUGCUAUAUGAUACGAGUCCUGGUGAUAGGAACCUCUCUUCUGGCUGUUAAAGUGCAUUCCUGUGUAGAUGUGGAAAGAGAGAAAGCAUGCUGGAGGCGAGCUAGGAUAGGAAUGAGUCUGGGACACAGAGAAGCCAUGCAACGUGCCUGAGAACUUACAGCAAAUGCUGGAAACUUCAGUCAAGGGACUCCAGGGGAAAAUGGGGCAGUCCUUGCCUGAAAUGAGUGGAAAACCAAAGCAGAUGCAAGCAACUCUGCUGAACCCCAUCUUUUCCCCCAAAACACCUUAAAAACAAGCCCUGCGUCUGCUCAGUGCUUUCCAGCUUACCAAGUGUUUUCAUAACACUAUCUCAUUUCAUCCUCACAUCAACCCACACACAUUCUUGCCUUUCAGAUUUUUUAU